GAGCGCCUUCAGGGCAGGGUGAGGCGGCACGGCCGCCAAUUCCCGACCGGCGGUGAUGCUCCCCGCAAGGAGGAGACGAGCGCCGCGAGCCCCGUGCGCCACAGGCUGCACGGGUGCAGACUCCGGUGAGAUCCCGGGGCCGACGGUAUAGUCCGGAUGGGAGAAGGCGAGA
rnacentral:ncRNA from 1 species